GAUGAACGCUAGCGGCAGGCCUAAUACAUGCAAGUCGAGGGGCAGCGCGGUAGCAAUACUGGCGGCGACCGGCGCACGGGUGCGUAACACGUAUGCAACCUAUCUUCAACUGGAGGAUAGCCCGGGGAAACUCGGAUUAAUACUCCAUAACACAGGGAUCCCGCAUGGGAAUAUUGUUAAAGCUACGGCGGUUGAAGAUGGGCAUGCGUUCGAUUAGCUAGUUGGUGUAGGUAACGGCUCACCAAGGCUACGAUCGAUAGGGGGUCUGAGAGGAUGAUCCCCACACUGGUACUGAGAUACGGACCAGACUCCUACGGAGGCAGCAGUAGGGAAUAUUGGUCAAUGGGCGCAAGCCUGAACCAGCCAUGCCGCGUGCAGGAAGAAGGCCCUCUGGGUUGUAAACUGCUUUUGAUAGGGAACAAAUGCCAUUGCGAGUGGAGCUGAGUGUACCUAUAGAAUAAGCACCGGCUAAC
rnacentral:rRNA from 1 species